rnacentral:lncRNA from 1 species
AUAUUUCUGCUGAUAAAAAUACCGCAUGUGCUUCACAUGAUUUUUAUAUUUAAAAGCUUUGUGUUUUUCUUUCUAGGGAACAGGAUUCUCUGGUUAAGACCUGAAAACACAGAGUGUGUUCCCAAGUUACAUGCAAGUUUUGCUGCAUACCUUCAUUAUGAUCAGCACUGGCACUUGAGUGAUGCGCUGCUGAGAAACCGAUUUGCUCUUCCAAGAAGCAGCUUCACACAUGGUUCUACUCCAG